CCUUUGUGACUCAGCUGGUAAAGAAUGCACCUGCAAUGCGGGAGACCUGGAUUCGAUCCCUAGGUUGGGAAUAUCCCCUGGAGAAGAGAAAGGCUACUCACUCUAAUAUUCUGGCCUAGAGAAUUCCAUGGACUUGUAUAGUCCACGGGGUCGCAAAGAGUUGGACACAACUGAGCAACUUUCACUUUCACUUCAUCAGUUUGAUUGGUGCAUGAUUCUCUUGAAAUCAAGAGGCUUAAGAUUUCUGUAAUUUUGGUGUAAAGUUUUUUAUUUAUACAUUGCCUCUCAAAGAGAAAUGAACAAGCAAGUAUAAUAGAAAUACAAAAUUGCGCCCAGGAAAGGUGGGUACAAAUAUGACAACUGGAAAAGUCAAUGAAUUUUUAAUUUAAGCUCACAAAACUACCUGAUUAUAAGUUUUAAGCUUUUACUUUGUAAGUUCCUCCUCUUUUUCUUUCUUUCUUUGUAUUGUGGAGAAUUUCACACAUAUAAAAGUAGACCAAACUGUAUAAUUGAGUCCCAUCAUAUAUCACCCAGCUUCAACAUUUAUCAAUAUUUUCCCAGUCUUGUUUCAUCUGUGCCUCUAGUUACUUCCCCUUCUCAUCCCAGCCAUCAAAUACUUUUCAUCUCUAUUUCAGUUAUUAAUUUAUUUUAUACGUUAUUUGAAUCAGGAAAGUGAUGUUUGCAUAUUUGUGAUUGAUGUCUCAUGACUUUGAAUCUGUAGAUUUUCUUACUAUCUCUCGUUUUUUUCUUUCUUGUGAAAUUAGGUCAUUUGUCCUAUAGAAUUUCCUGUCUGGCUUGUGUUGGUUAUUUCCUCAUAGUAUCAUUUUUCACAUUUUCUUCUGAAUUCAUAUUUCCUCCAAAUUGGUAUUUGGAUAUAAAAACUUUAUGAGACUCUGGUUCCUUUGAAUUGGUUUGACUGCACCCUGCAGCAUGUGAGAUCUUAGAUCCCCACCAAGGAUUUGAACCCAUGCCCCCUUGCAGUGGAAGAGCAGAAUCUCAACCACUGGACUGCCAGGGAAGUCCCAGUGUAUAAUUUUAAAUAAGCUAUUGAACCAUUUCAGGAUACCAUAAUUAUAAAUUAAUGUAAGUUUACUUCUAUGAUGGUAAGUAUGUUUAAAUUGAUGUUUUCAAAAACUAUAUUCCCUACGAUUUCAAAGGAAAUUUUGUCUAUACCUACACGUUUAAUAAAUGGUACUGUUU
ensembl:lncRNA